CCAAUAGCGUAUAUUAAAGUUGUUGCAGUUAAAAAGCUCGUAGUUGAAUUUCGGGAUCAAUAUUUCGGUCAUGCCGUUGGUAUGCGCUGUUAUCAUUGAUUUCUCACCUUCUAAAGAACCGUAAUGCCAUUAAUUUGGUGUUACGGGGAAUUAGGACUGUUACCUUGAAAAAAUUAGAGUGUUUAAAGCAGGCUCACGCUUGAAUACAUUAGCAUGGAAUAAUGAAAUAGGACAUCCGAUUCUAUUUUGUUGGUUUCUAGGAUCGAUGUAAUGAUUAAUAGGGAUAGUUGGGGGCAUUAGUAUUCAAUUGUCAGAGGUGAAAUUCUUGGAUUUAUUGAAGACUAACUACUGCGAAAGCAUUUGCCAAGGAUGUUUUCAUUAAUCAAGAACGAAAGUUAGGGGAUCGAAGACGAUCAGAUACCGUCGUAGUCUUAACCAUAAACUAUGCCGACUAGGGAUCGGAUGAUGUUAAUUUUUUAAUGACUCAUUCGGCGCCUUACG
rnacentral:rRNA from 1 species